CACGAAUUCACCCUGCUCGCUCACGAAUAAGUUGUGCUCGCGCACGAAAGUGCAUGCGCGCACUCGAAACGCAGCUCUCGCGCUCAAAUCGUAUGCGCGCACUCAAAGCAAACUGCGCUCGCGCUCAAAUAUUUCUUGCUCGCUCUCAUAACUGCACUUGCCCUCACGUUAAAACAGUCCCAAAAGUCGUCGACCAAUCAGAAUGUGUUUUCGGCUUCGACCAAUGAGUCACAACUUCCCCUGCAUUUUCACUGGUCGGAAAGAGUGAACCGUUGUGAAGACAAAUGGACAAUCAACGACCUCAGGUUUCUGAAUCAUCUGCGGUGUUCAAGAAAAAGCCACAUACAAUGACAGCUUUCCCCUGGUGCAUCUAUUGUAGCUGAGAUUCCCCCACCAGAAUCCAGCAAGGAAGCAAGUAGUGUUAGAACACCAAGCAGUAAGGCUAAUGCAGACUUUACCACCUAUGGUUAAGACAGCUGGUUCGCCCUCUCUUUGUCCAAAAACAUUAUUUCAAUGGCUCACAGGACAGGAACACAUCAGACCAGUUCGUCUGUGGAUAUUUGUGCUCAUUCAAUAAAUAAGUAAAACAAACUGUGUACUGUUAUUUAUUUACAUGUAAUGUAUAUGAGAACAGAGUCAGCACAAGUAUCUAUGAGAAUAGAGUCCAA